AGUGAACGCUGGCGGUAGGCCUAACACAUGCAAGUCGAACGGCAGCACAGUAAGAGCUUGCUCUUACGGGUGGCGAGUGGCGGACGGGUGAGGAAUACAUCGGAAUCUACUUUUUCGUGGGGGAUAACGUAGGGAAACUUACGCUAAUACCGCAUACGACCUACGGGUGAAAGCAGGGGAUCUUCGGACCUUGCGCGAUUGAAUGAGCCGAUGUCGGAUUAGCUAGUUGGCGGGGUAAAGGCCCACCAAGGCGACGAUCCGUAGCUGGUCUGAGAGGAGGAUCAGCCACACUGGAACUGAGACACGGUCCAGACCCCUACGGGAGGCAGCAGUGGGGAAUAUGGGACAAGGGGCGCAAGCCUGAUCCAGCCAUACCGCGGGGGUGAAGAAGGCCUUCGGGUUGUAAAGCCCUUUUGUUGGGAAAGAAAAGCAGCAGGUUAAUACCCCGCUGUUCUGACGGUACCCAAAGAAUAAGCACCGGCUAACUUCGG
rnacentral:rRNA from 1 species